GCUAACUACGUGCCAGCAGCCGCGGUAAUACGUAGGGGCCGAGCGUUGUCCGGAGUUACUGGGCGUAAAGCGCGCGCAGGCGGUCGUGUGCAUCAGCGGUGAAAGCCCCGGGCUUAACCCGGGAGGGUCCGCUGAGAUGGCGCGACUGGAGGCAGGGCGAGGGCGGUGGAAUUCCGGGUGUAGUGGUGAAAUGCGUAGAGAUCCGGAGGAACACCAGUGGCGAAGGCGGCCGCCUGGACCUGUCCUGACGCUGAGGCGCGAAGGCGUGGGGAGCGAACGGGAUUAGAUACCCCGGUAGUC
rnacentral:rRNA from 1 species